GACGAACGCUGGCGGCGUGCUUAACACAUGCAAGUCGAACGGAAAGGCCCUGCUUUUGUGGGGUGCUCGAGUGGCGAACGGGUGAGUAACACGUGAGUAACCUGCCCUUGACUUUGGGAUAACUUCAGGAAACUGGGGCUAAUACCGGAUAGGAGCUCCUGCUGCAUGGUGGGGGUUGGAAAGUUUCGGCGGUUGGGGAUGGACUCGCGGCUUAUCAGCUUGUUGGCGGGGUAGUGGCUUACCAAGGCUUUGACGGGUAGCCGGCCUGGGAGGGUGACCGGCGACAUUGGGACUGAGAUACGGCCCAGACUCCUACGGGAGGCAGCAGUGGGGAAUAUUGCACAAUGGGCGGAAGCCUGAUGCAGCAACGCCGCGUGCGGGAUGACGGCCUUCGGGUUGUAAACCGCUUUCGCCUGUGACGAAGCGUGAGUGACGGUAAUGGGUAAAGAAGCACCGGCUAACUACGUG
rnacentral:rRNA from 1 species